rnacentral:rRNA from 1 species
UAAGCGCACGCAGGCGGUUUGUUAAGUCAGAUGUGAAAUCCCCGAGCUUAACUUGGGAACUGCAUUUGAAACUGGCAAGCUAGAGUCUUGUAGAGGGGGGUAGAAUUCCAGGUGUAGCGGUGAAAUGCGUAGAGAUCUGGAGGAAUACCGGUGGCGAAGGCGGCCCCCUGGACAAAGACUGACGCUCAGGUGCGAAAGCGUGGGGAGCAAACAGGAUUAGAUACCCUGGUAGUC